rnacentral:misc_RNA from 1 species
CGCAUAUUGCGCCCUCUGGUAUUCCGGUGGGCAUGCCUGUUCGAGCGUCAUUGAACACCCCUCAAGCUCUGCUUGGUGUUGGGCGCCGCCGCUCCUGCGGCGCGCCUCAAAUGAAACUUUGGCUGCGGGGUCCCCCUCCGAGCGUUGCGAGGCGUACCGACGUCACGCGUUUGGGAGGAGGGUCCGGCGGGCCAGCAAACAACCAGGUGGAUUCCCACCCCUCGUUUGACCUCGGAUCAGGUAGGGUUACCCGCUGAACUUAA